UGCCAGCCGCCGCGGUAAUACGGAGAGGGCAAGCGUUGUUCGGAAUCACUGGGCAUAAAGAGCACGUAGGCGGAUUGAAAAGUCGGUUGUGAAAGCCCGGGGCUCAACCCCGGAACUGCUUCCGAAACUUUCAGUCUAGAGGACGAGAGGGGAGAGUGGAACUUCUGGUGGAGCGGUGAAAUGCGUAGAUAUCAGAAGGAACACCGGUGGCGAAAGCGACUCUCUGGCUCGUAUCUGACGCUGAGGUGCGAAAGCUUGGGUAGCGAACGGGAUUAGAUA
rnacentral:rRNA from 1 species